rnacentral:rRNA from 1 species
GUGCCAGCCGCCGCGGUAAAACCAGCACCUCAAGUGGUCAGGAUGAUUAUUGGGCCUAAAGCAUCCGUAGCCUGCUUUGUAAGUUUUCGGUUAAAUCCAUAUGCUCAACAUAUGGGCUGCCGGAAAUACUGCACAGCUAGGGAGUGGGAGAGGUAGACGGUACUCGGUAGGAAGGGGUAAAAUCCUUUGAUCUAUUGAUGACCACCUGUGGCGAAGGCGGUCUACCAGAACACGUCCGACGGUGAGGGAUGAAAGCUGGGGGAGCAAACCGGAUUAGAUACCCGGGUAGUCCCAGCUGUAAACUAUGCAAACUCGGUGAUGCGUUGGCUUGUAGCUAGCGCAGUGCCGCAGGGAAGCCGUUAAGUUUGCCGCCUGGGAAGUACGUACGCAAGUAUGAAACUUAAAGGAAUUGGCGGGGGAGCACCACAAGGGGUGAAGCCUGCGGUUCAAUUGGAGUCAACGCCAGAAAUCUUACCCGGAGAGACAGCAGAAUGAAGGUCAAGCUGAAGACUUUACCAGACAAGCUGAGAGGUGGUGCAUGGCCGUCGCCAGCUCGUGCCGUGAGGUGUCCUGUUAAGUCAGGUAACGAGCGAGACCCUUGCCUCUAGUUGCCACCAUUACUCUCAGGAGUAGUGGGGCGAAUUAGCGGGACCGCUGCAGUUAAUGUGGAGGAAGGAAAGGGCCACGGCAGGUCAGUAUGCCCUGAAACUCUGGGGCCACACGCGGGCUGCAAUGGUAAUGACAGUGGGUUUCGAAUCCGAAAGGAGGAGGUAAUCCUCAAACAUUACCACAGUUAUGACUGAGGGCUGCAACUCGCCCUCACGAAUAUGGAAUCCCUAGUAACUGCGUGUCAUUAUCGCGCGGUGAAUACGUCCCUGCUCC